rnacentral:lncRNA from 1 species
GGCAGGGGGCUGGGAUAAGGGGUUUCAGGGGAGGGUUCAUGGGGGCACCUGAGUGCUGGAACUCAUCACCAUCCCCACCUUGAUGGAGCAGGGUGUCAUCUCCUCCCUCGAGAUGAUCUUCAGUUACCUGGAGCUGCUGCAUGGUGAGAUGGAUUUUUAUGUGGAGGGCAAUGUGCUCAGCUGUCGGAAUGAGAGUUCAAUAUACAGAGCUGGGGAUCCUGUGGCGUUGGUGGGUGGGGGAAGGGCUGGCAUCAAGGACCCCUUCCUGGUAGAGGAUCUAUUUCGGGCCAACUGUGAGAACAGGAAUUCAAAUUCAUCAAGGACAUCAAGCUGGUACAGAAGGCUGCAAAUCUGUACACCAUGCAGCCCGAUGAGCA